rnacentral:lncRNA from 1 species
GGCAGGAAGAAAAUGAGCCACCAGGGGCCUCCACACUUGUCUCUCAUAAAAGGUAUAUGCUCCACAAGGGCAGGGUUGAGUCUGUCUUGUUCCCUGCUCAAUAAUUGUGUGCUAUGGAUAAAUAAAUGAAUGGAUCAAGAGAUAAGGAUGGAAUAGCAAUUUACAAACCCUAAGCAUUGUGCAAGGCAGGGCAUAAUUGGGUAGGAAUGCUUCUUCUAGAAGUUAUUCCUUAGGAAAGGCCAAACAAAAAGUCUAUUAAUAGACCCGAUUAAUAAACAUCAGCCAAGGUAAAUGUUAACAGGAAGUAUUUCUGCAAACGUUGGCAGUCUCUUAGGCUGGGCUCAGAGUAGGCUGGCGUGCUGACUGGCAUGCUGGCGAAGAAGGCUUCCUCCUUCCUGUUUGCUCAGAACAUGUUCUCAGGCCUAGGGAAGCCUCCUUCUUGAAUUCCAGAAUGAGUGCCACAGUCCCAGGCUUGCUGCAUCCUGGAAGCUCGCUCUACUUCAGUAUGCAGUGAGACCCAGGUACGCAGGGACGCAGUGUGCGGUCAGACCCAGGUGUGCAGGGACGCAGUGUGCGGUCAGACCCAGGUGUGCAGGGACGCAGUUGUGCGGUCAGACCCAGGUGUGCAGGGACGCAGUGUGCGGUCAGACCCAGAUACCCAGGGAUGCAGUGUGCGGUCAGACCCAGGUGUGCAGGGACGCAGUGUGCGGUCAGGCCCAGAUACCCAGGGAUGCAGUGUGCGGUCAGACCCAGGUGUGCAGGGAUGCAGUGUGCGGUCAGACCCAGGUGUGCAGGGAUGCAGUGUGCGGUCAGACCCAGGUGUGCAGGGAUGCAGUGUGCGGUCAGACCCAGAUACCCAGGGAUGCAGUGUGCGGUCAGACCUAGGUGUGCAGGGAUGCAGUGUGCGGUCAAAUCCAGGUAUGCAGGGAUGCGGUGUGCGGUCAGACCCAGGUGUGCAGGGAUGCAGUGUGCGGUCAGACCCAUAUACCCAGGGAUGCAGUGUGCGGUCAGACCCAGGUGUGCAGGGAUGCAGUGUGCGGUCAGACCCAGAUACCCAGGGAUGCAGUGUGUGGUCAGACCCAGGUGUGCAGGGAUGCAGUGUGUGGUCAGACCCAGGUGUGCAGGGAUGCAGUGUGUGGUCAAAUCCAUGUAUGCAGGGAUGCAGUGUGCAGUCAGACCCAGGUGUGCAGGGAUGCGUGCGGUCAGACCCAGGUGUGCAGGGAUGCAGUGUGCGGUCAGACCCAGGUGUGCAGGGAUGCAGUGUGCGGUCAGACCCAGGUAUGCAGGGAUGCAGUGUGCAGUCAGACCCAGGUGUGCCGGGGUGCAGUGUGUGGUUCGACCCAGUUAGGUGGUCCUUAAACACGCCAUGCUGGUUUGCCUCUGGGGGCUUCACCUGUGCUCUUCCAUUGUUCCUCUUUUCCUCACUUCCUUCAGGUUUCUGUACAAAUGUCACCUCCUCAGAGAAGCCUCAUCUGACCCCACUCAAAAUUAGCAGCCACAAAGAGGUAUAAUAUACUGAGAAAAA